rnacentral:rRNA from 1 species
AGAGUUUGAUCCUGGCUCAGGAUGAACGCUGGCGGUCUGCUUAACGCAUGCAAGUCGAACGGAGUAGAAAUACUUAGUGGCGGACGGGUGAGUAACGCGUGAGAAUCUGCCUUCAGGACGGAGACAACAGUUGGAAACGACUGCUAAGCCCCGAUGAACCGAAAGGGAAAAUAUUUAUAGCCUGAAGAUGAGCUCGCGUCCGAUUAGCUAGUUGGGGGGGUAAAGGCCCACCAAGGCGACGAUCGGUAGCUGGUCUGAGAGGACGAUCAGCCACACUGGGACUGAGACACGGCCCAGACUCCUACGGGAGGCAGCAGUGGGGAAUUUUCCGCAAUGGGCGAAAGCCUGACGGAGCAAUACCGCGUGAGGGAGGAAGGCUCUUGGGUUGUAAACCUCUUUUCUCAGGGAAGAACACAAUGACGGUACCUGAGGAAUCAGCAUCGGCUAACUCCGUGCCAGCAGCCGCGGUAAUACGGAGGAUGCAAGCGUUAUCCGGAAUGAUUGGGCGUAAAGCGUCCGCAGGUGGCUUUGCAAGUCUGCUGUCAAAGCUCAGGGCUUAACCCUGAAUCGGCGGUGGAAACUGAAAGGCUAGAGUGUGGUAGGGGCAGAGGGAAUUCCCAGUGUAGCGGUGAAAUGCGUAGAGAUUGGGAAGAACACCAGUGGCGAAAGCGCUCUGCUAGACCGCAACUGACACUCAUGGACGAAAGCUAGGGGAGCGAAUGGGAUUAGAUACCCCAGUAGUCC